ACAUACUCACUAAGCCAAGCAAUAAGUUCAGGGCCUGCAGUUUGUUCCAGUUUGGAGUAUGCAUUUGAAGUUAACCAAAUGACCAUCCAUCUUCCCUCCCUUGGUCUGUAAUUCGCCCUUUCUGAUGAAAAUUUCUGGAGUAAAAUAUCGGCAUUUGCAACUAUCUCACAUUCCAUUAAGUUGUAUAGAGUAACAGAGGAAUCUUUUGAGAUAAUGCUUUUAUGUUUGUGAAACCAGGGGAAAAACUUCUUUGCUACUCCUCCAGGAGUUUCAUCAAACAGAUGUCUUUUAGUGCUUUCGAGAGCAGAAAUACAAAUAACAUCUGUAAUAAAAGAAAUGACUCGUUCAUCUGAUAAGGUGAUGGCAAAAGAUGGAGGUACCUGCUGAUAGGAAAGGAAUAACAGAACUCAACCUAUCAGUAUCUAGCACCUGCAAAGCAAAAAUUAUAAAUUCGAUAUUAUAAAAGAACAAAAUGAAAGGAAAGACAAAAUAAAAAGAUAAAGACAUUAAAAAAGCUCCCCACCUCUCUCGGAGUUUCAAGAUCAUCCAUAUUUCUUUCUGCUACUGGUAUAAAAAGUACUAGUUCAAAGUUCCAAAGAUGUUGCAGAGUCACUUGUCUAAA
rnacentral:lncRNA from 1 species